GGCCCUAUCGUCUAGAGGCCUAGGACGCCGCCCUCUCAAGGCGGUGACACGGGUUCGAAUCCCGUUAGGGCUACCA
rnacentral:tRNA from 1 species